CGAGCGUGCGAGCUAGUGGGAGUGGAACGCACCGGCCGUUGUAGCCGUCGCCUUCUUCCUCCCCACAGUCAAACAGCGCGGUGACUAGGCCGUCGGCCCUCGAGCCGAGACAUAUCUCUUGUUUAGUGCUCGGGAGCGCCUGGCCAACAUGAGUGAUGUAGAGGAGAACAACUUCGAGGGCAGAGUGAGUACAAAGCCGCGGGAGCCGUCUUCGGCGGCGGCCCGAUGCUCCGGGGCUCAGGGACGAGCGCGGUCGGUCGGGCGAGGUUGCGGGGCCCGCAGGAGCAGCCUUGAGGGCCACCGCGAGCGCGUCACGUCCCAAGAUGGCUUCGAGGUCCCCCUGCCUGCCCAGAUGCCCCACUAACCCGCAGCGCUCCUUUCUGGCGGCUGACUGGUACCUGGCCUGGUCCUAUCCUCUCCUGUCGCUCCCUUUCCUCUCAGCUUCCCAUCUCUGCUCCGAGGUGCGGGUCCCCUGCGCGGUGGGGCAGGAGGCGGCGGGGCGCUCCCUCCGGCCGGAUAGUGGUAGGUGCUUCCAUCGGUGGCAUCUCAGGCCACCACCCCUCCGGCCAUCGCAGCGGGGUCCCGGGGUCGGAAGUGCGCGGGGCUGUUGUCGGGGCGGGGAAUUGCUGGCGCGGGACUAGCUGGGGCCUGUGUCUCCUUGGCUGGCUCUCUGUUGCAGUGAGCGGCCGC
rnacentral:lncRNA from 1 species